rnacentral:rRNA from 1 species
GACGAACGCUGGCGGCGUGCCUAAUACAUGCAAGUAGAACGCUGAAGGAGGAGCUUGCUCUUCUGGAUGAGUUGCGAACGGGUGAGUAACGCGUAGGUAACCUGCCUGGUAGCGGGGGAUAACUAUUGGAAACGAUAGCUAAUACCGCAUAAGAGUAGAUGUUGCAUGACAUUUGCUUAAAAGGUGCAAUUGCAUCACUACCAGAUGGACCUGCGUUGUAUUAGCUAGUUGGUGGGGUAACGGCUCACCAAGGCGACGAUACAUAGCCGACCUGAGAGGGUGAUCGGCCACACUGGGACUGAGACACGGCCCAGACUCCUACGGGAGGCAGCAGUAGGGAAUCUUCGGCAAUGGACGGAAGUCUGACCGAGCAACGCCGCGUGAGUGAAGAAGGUUUUCGGAUCGGAAAGCUCUGUUGUAAGAGAAGAACGAGUGUGAGAGUGGAAAGUUCACACUGUGACGGUAUCUUACCAGAAAGGGACGGCUAACUACGUG